rnacentral:lncRNA from 1 species
GGGAGCAGGUGAAUGGAGGGGAGGUACGCUGGACGUGGGAGGUAGGGAAGGCGUUUCCUCUGUCCUCCUUCUCUCACAUGGCUCUCCAUCUGCCCUCAGUGAGCAGUGUCCACCCAGCAUCCACAUUUCCAGCCAUCCAGGGUGCCUCACUGCCUGCUCUGAGCACACAGCCCAGCCCUCUGGUAAGCGGAGGUUUCCCACCACCCGAAGAGGAGACGCACAGUCAGCCCGUCAGUCCACACAGCCUGCACCACCUGCAUGCUGCCUACCGUGUUGGUAAGAAGUCCUUCUGCACCUACCUGCAGCCGGGUGAGGGUGAGGGGCUCUUCAUUUGUUUCCUGUGGGUCAGGUACCGAGGUGGGGGAGGGUGAAGGACAGAUCCUACCGUGUGCCUCUCUGUGUUCCCUAGGGAUGCUGGCACUGGAGAUGCUAGGUCGCCGGGCACAUAACGAUCACCCCAACAAUUUCUCCCGCUCCCCCCCUUACACUGAUGAUGUCAAAUGGUUGCUGGGGCUGGCAGCAAAGCUGGGUAACACCUCCCUCCCCAGGACCAUUGCCCCCAACCUGCUUCCCUUCCCUUCCCGUCCCAGACCUCCUUCCUAGCUCUUGCUCAGAGUUGAGGCCUUGGUCGGGUAUGUGUGCAAGCGCGAGGGGGUGGAGGGGUGGCUCU